rnacentral:rRNA from 1 species
UACGAAGGGGGCUAGCGUUGCUCGGAAUCACUGGGCGUAAAGGGUGCGUAGGCGGGUCUUUAAGUCAGGGGUGAAAUCCUGGAGCUCAACUCCAGAACUGCCUUUGAUACUGAGGAUCUUGAGUCCAGGAGAGGUGAGUGGAACUGCGAGUGUAGAGGUGAAAUUCGUAGAUAUUCGCAAGAACACCAGUGGCGAAGGCGGCUCACUGGCCCGGUACUGACGCUGAGGCACGAAAGCGUGGGGAGCAAACAGG